rnacentral:rRNA from 1 species
UACGUAGGGAGCAAGCGUUGUCCGGAAUCAUUGGGCGUAAAGCGCGCGUAGGCGGCCCUGUAAGUCCGUUGUGAAAGUCAAAGGCUCAACCUUUGAAUGCCGAUGGAUACUGCAGGGCUAGAGUCCGGAAGAGGCGAGUGGAAUUCCUGGUGUAGCGGUGGAAUGCGCAGAUAUCAGGAGGAACACCAACGGCGAAGGCAGCUCGCUGGGACGGUACUGACGCUAAGGCGCGAAAGCGUGGGGAGCAAACAGG